rnacentral:rRNA from 1 species
UUUUAUUUGAGAGUUUGAUCCUGGCUCAGGAUGAACGCUGGCGGCGUGCCUAACACAUGCAAGUUGAGCGAUUUACUUCGGUAAAGAGCGGCGGACGGGUGAGUAACGCGUGGGUAACCUACCCUGUACACACGGAUAACAUACCGAAAGGUAUGCUAAUACGGGAUAAUAUAUUUGAGAGGCAUCUCUUGAAUAUCAAAGGUGAGCCAGUACAGGAUGGACCCGCGUCUGAUUAGCUAGUUGGUAAGGUAACGGCUUACCAAGGCGACGAUCAGUAGCCGCCCUGAGAGGGUGAUCGGCCACAUUGGAACUGAGACACGGUCCAAACUCCUACGGGAGGCAGCAGUGGGGAAUAUUGCACAAUGGGCGAAAGCCUGAUGCAGCA